CCUCCUCACAUACUCAGCAGCAAUCUCCACAGCACCCUUUGCUACUAAGCCAGACUUCAUUGUUCUGAGGAAUUUGAAUAGAAUGUGGUCUCAGCUGCCAGCAGCAGUAAUCCCCUCUUAAAGUGGGAGUUUGCUGAGUACAGCUGGAUAUCUGAUGGCUUUCAGUAACAGCCGUUUCCUACAAAAUUGCAGUUACCAUGAGAACUCCCUCAGCAAGCAACAAAGCAACAUAAAGCAGUAGGAAAUGAGCAUUAAAUAAGAGGGAAGUAAAACAGCACUGAGCACUGCCUGUUAGUGCUGCUGUGCACCUUUGUUUUCUGAAAGCACUCCAAAUCAGCAGCUAAAAGAAAACUUAGGAGAGAUGAAGCUUUAAAAGUGUAAAAAUAGGUUUAACAUUCGUAACACUCACAAUAUACCUGAUGAUACUGGGAUACAGUGAGUCCCAAAAUGGACAAGUUGGGAAAGGGUUCUGGAUUCAGAAGAAAUAUCUUGGUUAGGUCUCGGCAACCAGCAACCACAUCUCUGGGGCAACCAGCCUUAGCUCCAUCUGUGUCUCUUGGCAGCACACAGCCCAGAAGAUCUGUUGUUGCACAACCAGAUACUCAGGCUUGGGCAGAUGAGCAGUCGGCACUGCAGCAAGACCAGGUUCAACAGGAUAAGAUCUGGAGAGAGUCUGUGGAGGCUGAACAGAGAGGAAGAAAGAUUUGGUACCAGAACUGGAGUUUCCUAAAGGACUACGACCAAAUGGGUAAGAAAAAGGAGCAGAAGCCACUGCCAAACUAUAUGCCUGUGUUCUCAAGCAAAGUUCCCAACUCAACCAACCAGACUAUUGGCAGUCGAAUGGAUACUGAACUUGGCAGGGAUUUGGUAAACAUGGAUUACUUCUUCAGCACUGGUGCACGAAAGAGGAAACUUGAUGGUGAGCUCCAGCCUUCCUAGCACUUUGGUAAAAAUAUAACAGUAACAAAGCAAGCUGAAUGGUUCUAGCCAACAGAUUCCACAGCAGAACACUCCAUGUUUGCUUGAAUGAAUUCCUUGAAACACAAAUGCUUCUCCAAGAAACUCAGAAGUUCUGCCAAAGGCUGAAGAGGUGCUUGUGCAGUUCUGUCAGCUGCAGCCCCAUCCACAGACCUCUUCUGUCACAGGGCAUAGAUGCCACAGACUGACUUCAGCUUGUAACCUUCUCAAAGACUCUCUCAGAAGCUGUACGUAUCCACCAGUUCUUCUAAAUGGAACUUCCAAGUAUCAGGAGUUACAGUCUCACCUCAGCACAAGACCUUCAUGCCAGGUUGAUGGAGCAAAACUGCCGAAAAUGUCUCUUAACUGGAAAAUGCCCACAGGAAAGUCUCAGUUGGCAUACACUGAUUGAAAAAUUGCAUUAAGAAGUAAUCUGCAAAUAUACAGGCAUGAUAGCUAUAAAAAUUAUGAGAUUGGGUUUCACUCUAUGACUUUGACCUGAUCACUUCAAAUCUAUGUCUAUUUUCCCCAUUCACUAAUGAUCAGUUAUCAUCACUGGAUGUAUUCUAUGUGAUCUGUGAAUUAACAAAUGUAUUCAUGCAGUAACUCUUAUUUCAACUACGGCUAUUGCUCAGAAAGAGACACAAACCAAACCAAUGAUGUAGCACAGAACCAUCUAAAACUAUUACAGUGCUUAUUAGCAGUAACACAAUUAUAUUUCUUAAAAGGCAAAUGGACUGAAAACACAACAUCUAUAUCAACUCUUCUAUAGCAAAACUUAACAGAACGCUGACACAUUGCUAGCACUGUAUUACCACAGGGCUACUUAAUGGCUUUCCAGUGACAAA